rnacentral:rRNA from 1 species
CAGUGGGGAAUAUUGGACAAUGGGCGAAAGCCUGAUCCAGCCAUGCCGCGUGAGUGAUGAAGGCCUUAGGGUUGUAAAGCUCUUUUGUCAGGGAAGAUGAUGACGGUACCUGAAGAAUAAGCACCGGCUAACUUCGUGCCAGCAGCCGCGGUAAUACGAAGGGUGCUAGCGUUGUUCGGAAUCACUGGGCGUAAAGCGCGCGUAGGUGGCUUUUCAAGUCAGAGGUGAAAUCCCUGGGCUCAACCCAGGAACUGCCUUUGAAACUGUAAAGCUUGAGUGUUGGAGGGGAUAGCGGAAUUGCUAAUGUAGAGGUGAAAUUCGUAGAUAUUAGCAGGAACACCGGUGGCGAAGGCGGCUAUCUGGACAACAACUGACACUGAGGCGCGAAAGUGUGGGGAUCAAACAGGAUUAGAUACCCGAGUAGUC